AUGCCCAUACUGCGCAUUGGCACCUCUAUCUCUGUUGGAUCAGGAGCCUCGACCCUGUUCUGGUUCGACCGUUGGCUAGGGGACGCCCCCCUGGCGGUUCGUUUCCCGGAGCUAUUUGCCAUUGCAGCUGACCCUCGGGUCUCGGUCGAGACGGCCCUUAUUGACUUAGGGCGUCUCGCCUUUCGGCGUCCGUUUGGCCCCCUGGAGGUGGCCGCCUGGGACUCCCUCCUCCAGGAUAUUGCUCUUCUGCCGAUGGAGGUGGAGGAGGACAGGGAUGUUGUAUCCUGGCACCUCGAGUCCUCCGGUCGUUUCUCCACGAAGUCCUUAUACGGUGCCAUUGCCCCCUCGGCGGCCCCGGAACCAUUUAGCCUGAUUUGGGAUAUCCGUCUCCCGCUGAAGAUCCGGAUCUUCCUUUGGCAAUGGAUCCGUGGCCGACUUCCCUCGGGUGUUGAGGUUCUCAAGCGGAAUGGCCCCGGUGAUGGGAGGUGCCCUAUCUGUGGCACCAUUGAGGAUGCCAACCACAUCUUUUUCUCCUGCCACUCCGCCCAGUUCCUUUGGGCCUGCUUCCGCGAAACGGUUGGCGGACAGUGGUGUAAUACCAACUUCCCCAACCUGCUUGCCGAGCUUAAUGCCUGCCCUACCCGCUUCCGCCAUAUUAGAUGGCUGUGCGUAGGGGUUCUUGCCUGGACGCUUUGGAACAUCCGCAAUAAGCUUGUUAUUCAGAAGGUGCCCCUUCAUCGUGCGACUGAUGCAAUCUUCAAACUGUGUGGUUACCUGCAGCUUUGGCGGCCGCUUAGCCGCCUCCAGGACCGGGACGUCAUCACCGCCCUUCUCUCCGAUCUCCGCUCGAUGGCGCUCCGCGUGGCACCCCCGCUGCCGCCUCCUCCCCCUGAGCCCGACUAG
rnacentral:rRNA from 1 species